GCAAACUUGGUCAUUUAGAGGAAGUAAAAGUCGUAACAAGGUUUCCGUAGGUGAACCUGCGGAAGGAUCAUUAUAGAGAUAAACUUGGCUAGGCUGUUGCUGACUCUAUUAGAGUAUGUGCACACCUAAUACCAAUUUAUUUUACCACCUGUGCACAUUUGUAGACUUGGAUAUUUAAAAGGGGAUGCAUGAUUUUAACAAACCCAGCUCUCCUUCUGUAUUCCUUGUCUAUGAUUUUGUAUACUCCAAAAUAAUGUAUUUGAAUGGUUAUAAUAGGCGAAAAGCCAUUUAAAUUUAAUAUAACUUUCAACAACGGAUCUCUUGGCUCUCGCAUCGAUGAAGAACGCAGC
rnacentral:misc_RNA from 1 species